GAUGAACGCUGGCGGCGUGCCUAAUACAUGCAAGUCGAGCGAGAAUUUUUCAAAUGACACUUCGGUUGAUUUUGGAAAAGGACAGCGGCGGACGGGUGAGUAACGCGUAGGCAACCUGCCCCUGACAGAGGGAUAGCCAUUGGAAACGAUGAUUAAAACCUCAUAACGCCGAAGGAACACAUGUUUCAUCGGCCAAAGAUUUAUCGGUCAGGGAGGGGCCAGCGUCUGAUUAACUAGUUGGUGAGGUAACGGCUCACCAAGGUGACGAUCAGUAGCCGACCUGAGAGGGUGAUCGGCCACAUUGGAACUGAGACACGAUCCAAACUUCUACGGAAGGCAGCAGUAGGGAAUCUUGCACAAUGGGCGAAAGCCUGAUGCGGCAACGCCGCGUGAAGGAUGAAGGCCUUCGGGUUGUAAACUUCUGUUCUUAGGGACGAAGAAAGUGACGGUACCUAAGGAGAAAGCCCCGGCUAACUACGUGCCAGCAGCCGCCGUAA
rnacentral:rRNA from 1 species